CAGUAGCCGCGGUAAUACAGAGGAUGCAAGCGUUAUCCGGAAUGAUUGGGCGUAAAGCGUGCGCAGGCGGUUCGUUAAGACAGAUGUGAAAUCCCCGGGCUUAACCUGGGAACUGCAUUUGUGACUGGCGAGCUAGAGUAUGGCAGAGGGGGGUAGAAUUCCACGUGUAGCAGUGAAAUGCGUAGAGAUGUGGAGGAAUACCGAUGGCGAAGGCAGCCCCCUGGGCCAAUACUGACGCUCAUGCACGAAAGCGUGGGGAGCAAACAGGAUUAGAUACCCCUGUAGUCCCUGUCUCUUAUAC
rnacentral:rRNA from 1 species